UAAUCUUGGCCCACUGCAACCUCCACCUCCUGGAUUCAAGCGAUUCUCAUGCCUCAGCCUCCCAAGUAGCUGGAAUUACAGGCACGCGUCACCACGCCUGGCUGAUUUUUUUUUUGUAUUUUUAGUAGAGAUGGGGUUUCACCAUGUUGGCCAGGCUGGUCUUGAACUCCUGACCUGAAGUGAUCCACCCGCCUUGGCCUCCCAAAGUAUUGGGAUUACAUGUGUGAGCCACUGCGCCUGUCCCCUGUGACUUCUUCGGGUACAGUUCCCUCCUGUUUUACCUAUGUGGCAAAUGAGCCAGGAACGGUUCUCUGAUUGUUUUAUUAGGUUCAUUCAUCCAAUUAUUCAUUUGUUCAUUUACCAUGCAGUCAGAAUCUACAAUCUUUUAUUAUUUGAAAAAAAAAUACAAAACUAUAUUACCAUAAUUUUAUUUUAACUGUACAUAUCCAUUUUUAAAGGCUGGAAAGACCAUGUUAUUAAUGUAAUUUUUUUCUUUUUUUACCCCAAAUAUUCUACAAUUAGCAUGUGUGACUUUAGUAGUAAAAAAGAUAAGCUUGUGAAAUCUAUCAGCUCUCAGGCUAAGCAUUACACCAAGAGAAUCUUGCACGAUCCUUCAAUCAUAAGAAAUCACAUGUUAGUGCAGAAGGUCCAGCAUGAAAUCCUCUAAGUGGCCAAAUCUAGGAGUUCUUCUCUGGCUUGGUUGGCUAAAGCAGUGAUCUGUGUCACCCCCAGGGCCAUCACUGUGCAUGUCCCCAUGCCCUCAGCAGGAGUCGUGGACAUCCCCAUUGUGGAGAAGGAGGCGCAGGGCCAGCAGCAACACCACAAGGUGGGCGAGCAGCCUCCCUGAGGCAUGGGUUGCUGCUCUUCCUUGGGAAUCAUAUCUUGAUUUCUUUGGCUUCAGAUGACAUUGUCCCCGAGCUACCGCAUGGAUGAUGGGAAAAUGGUGAAAGUGCGGCGCAGCCGGAAUGCGCAAGUUGCUGUAACUCAGUACCAGGUGCUCAGCAGCACUCUCUCCUCCGCCCUCGUGGAGCUCCAGCCCAUCACUGGAAUAAAACAUCAGCUUCGAGUUCACUUGUCUUUUGGAUUGGAUUGUCCAAUCCUUGGUGAUCACAAGUACUCAGACUGGAAUAGGUUGGCCCCCCAGAAGCUGUCUGUGGGCACCCUGAAGAAGCUGGGGCUAGAACAGUCGAAGGCCCGCUACAUCCCCCUUCACCUGCACGCCCGGCAGCUGAUCCUGCCUGCCCUGGGGUCCGGGAAGGAGGAACUCAACUUGGUCUGCAAACUUCCUCGCUUCUUUGUGCAUUCCCUGCACCGCCUGCGUUUAGAGAUGCCAAAUGAGGAUCAAAAUGAGAACAAUGAAGCCAAGUGUCUGGGAGCACAGUGAAGACCCUGGGAGCACCCUGGCACCUGGGAGCACAGUGAAGACCCUGAGAGCACCCUGGCACCUGGGAGCGCAGGUUGGCCCCUGAACUGUUCUUUG
rnacentral:sRNA from 1 species